CUAGUGCUUGUAAACCAGUGUGUAGCAUCUAGGGGCCACAGAGAAAGAAAGCCAGUAAACUUGGGUAAGCACAGCGCCUGAGUUCCAAAGACGGUAGCAACCUCGUGCUUGGGAAGAGCCGACCUUCAGCCAUCUCCUCAUUUGUGUGUCAGUCCCUGCUCUCAGACAUGGCAUUUGUCUCUGUCUCCCCCCCAGAAGAUGAGGUGGGACACCAUCCACCCUGAGUCCCACGGAGGGACGGAGCCCGCCCGGCAUACCUAUAAUCCUGAAUCCUUACCCACCUAACUUCAAGGACCUGCAUCCCAGGGACCCCCAUACUCGACUGGGGUGGUCCAUGGCAACUGGCACCCAAACGUGGGGCUCGAAGCAAUCAUCCUCCAACUAGUCUUUUCCUUCAUUUCUACAAUCAAAAGAGAUAUUUACGAGCUUCAAUUAAACAAUAGAAAAGGAAGAGAUGUCACACCAACCCCAGUAGGAUCCAUGUGACAAGCUCCACAGAUUGAGGCGACAGACUUCAAAAGGAGGACACCUCCUGGAGCCCGCUGUGGAACUCUCGGCCGGAGAAAAGUUAUUGAGCAGUAGUUCUCUUGGCAACUUA